rnacentral:lncRNA from 1 species
AAAAAAAUAUAAUCUUUAUUGAUCUUUGAAACCUUGACGAUCUUAUACAGUACUAAUGUAUAGCUGACUGUAACAGAAUAGAUAGACGAGAACACUGCAAUAUGAUUUGGGCUAAAUAAUUUCUGUACACAUGAAUUGCACGAUAGUACAAGCCAUCCUCGAAUACUCUUUAUUGAUAUUGCAAAAAACAUACAUAAGAUCCGUCUCAAAAUAAGUGUCUCAAAUUUAGUUAGCACUAAAACUCUCCGACUGAGGGAGAAAUGACUAACUAGUUGUAACACGCUACUCCUUAGCAAGACUAAAAGCCGUCGGGCAAAACAUCGAAUACUCUUUAUUGAUAUGGGAAAAACCUUACAUAAGGACUAACUGACUGUAACACGCUACUCCUUAGCAAGACUAGACCUAGACGAGAACAAUGGACUUGAGUCGACUAACACUUGUCGUACUCAAUCUGACAGACCCGACAUUUAGGCGAGCAUUUGAUCUCCAGCGUCGUCCUCAGACUCCUUCCCUCUGCUGGAUCUCCAAUGAAAAGAACCUACAUUGAGAACACAGAAACGACAGUAAGUAGUACCAAGUAAGCGAAAGAAGGAAAGCAUGCUGAGUUCCUGCCUGACAUGAUUCAAUUCAAUGCUUAAAACUAUCGAGUCUGACUGAUACUCAAAUGCAAUGCGAGCGAUGCAAUGGUGAGAGAAAGNNNNN